UUAAGUCUCUGUUUGAGAGUGACUGAGAAAUUGCAUUACGUUUGGCUUUGUUUAUUUUCGUACGUAAUAUUAUAUUUGAUAUAUAGCAGUCAGUUUGUUAUAAUAUAUUUUUACGAGUUAGGCUGCUACACUAUCGAUAAUACGGAGCCCUUCUUGUUAUCAAGUUAUUUUUAAUGAUGCAGUUUCCAAAUUGACAAUCAGCUUUGUAAGACUUGAUUUACACUAUUCAAAAUGUUUGGAAACUAAGUUUUAUAUUUUUUCGACAUUAUUUGCUAGUGAUCGAAAGAUUUCAAAAUUGACAAUUUUAAUGGCCAAUGCGAUGCGUUUGUGAAUUUAACGGUGCAAAAUAUUCAAAUCUGCUGAAAUUUGUAUGAAUUUUUUUUUAUUCACUAUUUAGUGUAAGUUCAGUACUUCUAAUCUUAAAUUCAAGUCUUUUAUCAUCAUUUUUUUGUGAAAUUUUUAUUUUCAGCCAUUUAAUUUUUAGGUUACUCUUUUGAUAGGUAAAUGAUGUCGAAAAAUUAUGAAAUUUAGUUUUUAAAUACUUGUGAUAGUGUAGAUCAAGUCUAACGAAGUCGAUCGUCGAUUUAGAAGUUGCAUCAUUGAAAAUAAUUUAGCAGUACGGAGGUUUUUGUGCUACCAAUAGGCAUCUGUACUCGAUUUAUAUAUAUAUGAUUAUAAUAGUUG
rnacentral:lncRNA from 1 species